CUUUCUUAAAACAUGCCAAAUUAUGAGGAAGUUUUUCUUAUAUAACUUACAUCAGUUGAUUAUUUUUAUGUGGGUACUGGCCCUCAGUAUUAAAAAAGAUCCUCUCCACCGGGUGAGACCCCUGAUGUGAUGCUUUUAAGGGCCUGCUUCCUCUUUCUGAUCCUCUCUUAUUUAAGUAAUUUGGAAAGAGAACUGAACUUAUCCGCUCAUAAGCCCUUACAGGGCUUUCUUCCCUCUGUUCAGGCCAGGAUGCCAGCUAGCAUGGAAGCCCCUGUGUCAUUCAAUCUUGGCCUCGGUGGUCUUUCCUGCAAACAAGAAUGCUCCUCAACCUCCUUGCAAGUCAGUUCAUGCAUGGAACAACAUCUCACUACCCCUAUCUGACCCCACUUCCACCUGGGAAAAGAUAAAGUGUGAGAUAUGAAACUGCCUGAUUUUCUAACUUUUCUCCUUUGAGAACGCCAUCAACCCUGAAUCCUGGGUUCUGUGGUACAGCCAUAACACUAAGGUCAGAAUAUUUAAACCCUGCAUGCCACCCAGAUAUGACAGACUGCUGCAGUCCCCUAAGAGUCAUUCUUUCUUUCACUUCCCACUUGCUCACAGUUAUGUGUGUCUGGGCAGCUGAAUUCCAGCCAAUAGAGAGUGAGGGAAUCGGAUGCAGGCCACUUCUGGCUGGAUCUAACCAUCUGUGUUUGCUCCUUCAUUCCUCCCCUCUUCUGCCCAGACAGAACAGCAGUGCCCAGGGUGACCUGGGAGCAUCACUUGGGAAAUGACAGAGCAGUUAUCCACGUACUGAAUAAGUGCGUGGAGCAGACCUUCCUCUUCCAAAUCUAGAAUGACCCAGUGUUCAGGAACAGUUUCAACCUAACAUGCUGACACUUUGUUAGGAGGCUUAGUGGUGAGAACUCUAGGUGAGCAUUCCAAAGCAUCGCUUGUGUGUGUGUGCACCCUGCCUGGGAAAACCAACCCUCUCCUGACAUACUGGGGUCUGUCAGUUAGCUUUACACUGUUCAACAGACCACUGCCAUAUGUAAUGACUUAAGACGAUAACAUUUGAAUUAAUGAAUAAUGAAUGAUACUAUUAGCUUAUGAUGUUGGGCAGUCUGCUCUUGCUUGGGCAACGCAGCAGGCAGCUUGCCUGGGGCUGAAAGGUCUAGGAUGGCCUCAUCGCCAGGAUUGUUCAGUUUGAUCAUCUCUAAUCCCACUCAAUACUCUAAUUUUAUCUUUCUUUCCCAGCAGAGGAGUUGAAGUGCACGUUAUGGGAACUAAAAGCAUAGUUCGUGUGUUGUUGACUGUGGUGCAGGGGCACCCCGUGCCCAGCCCAAUGCUGAGCAAGACUCAGAGCAAACAAGGAUGAGAAAACUGAAGAUCACAGAGUCGAAGAGUGUUGGUUUCCUAUGGCUGCCAUAACGGAUUACCACAGACUUGGUGACUUGGAACAACAGAAAUUUAUUCUCUUUUAGUUCUGGAGGCCAGGAGUCCAAAAUCAAAGCAUGGGCAGGCUGUGCUCCCCUCCGAAGGCUCCAGGGGGAGAAUACCUGCUUAGCUCAUCAAGCUUCUGGAGGUUGCAUGUGUACGAUGGGAGGUAUGGCCAUGAUUCGAGGAGGAAGUGAUGAGCUCUAGCUGGGUUGGUCUUAGAGGUGGCCGAUGACUUGGGGCUGAAGGGUUAGUGGAAGAAGGAAGGAGGGGAGAGGCCAUCCAGAGGAGAAGGAAAUGGCAUGGGCAAGCCGUGGGGGCUGGGCUCACAUCACCGCAUUUCUUCUUCCAAAUGCUUCUUGCCUGGACUCCAAAAUAGUCCUUGAAGAAUUGAGGUACAAUUCACAUCACCCAGAAUGUUCAUAAAACAGAAAAUCGUUCAUUUCAAAGUGGCAUUUAGUGCAUUCUCAAUGUGGUGCGGUCAUCACCUCUAUCUAGUUCCGAAACAUUUUUGCCACCCCAGAGAAAAACUCUGUGCCCAUCCGGCAGGCACUCCCCAUCCGCCUUCUUCUCCCAGCCCGUGGCCACCACGACUCUGCUUCUGUUUCCAUGGAGUCUCCUAUUCUAGGUAUUUUACAUACAUGGAAUCAUGUGACACCGGACCUUUUGUAUCUGAGCACCCUUAGAUCUUUUUUAACAUGGCUUCCACCGUCUCUGUUUGUCUUUUCCAAUCUGUCCUUCCUAAGUAGUCCUGAUGCUCUUUCUAACUGAUGGAGCUGAGCCCGCCAUUCCCUUUCUUUGAACUCUUCAAAUGCUUCCAAACGCCCUUGAGAUGAACUGUGUGAUCGUGCCUGCCUGCUUCUCCAACCUCAGCCUUCAGGCUCCUUGGUCCCCACGCAUCACUCCCACUGCCCAUGGAGUCCAGACCCAGCUCCUUUCCAUUCUUGGCUCACCUCUGGGCCUCGCUGUAGUUGUGGCUCUUCCCUGGGCCCUGUCUCCUCAUUCACCAUCCCCGAUCAUGUAUUAGAUGUGACUCCCCCCCUAGAAAGCUCCAGACUGGGUUAGUGCCCUCAUUCUGAACCCCUCCCUUCUGCUUUCCUGCUAGCCCUAUAGCAGCUGUCCCUCUUCAUUGCACCUUCUGGUUUCAAUACCCGGUCUCCCCAGGGAAUAUUGGCCUUCUGGAGGCAGACGCUGUGUGGGUCUCGCUCAUGCCUUAGCACAUGGCAGCAGCUGGUAAUGUUUCUUUAACGAAGGGAGGUAGGAAAGAGAUAUUUUAAAGGGAUAUCGGAGAAGUUUUUAAAAUGAGAGCUCAGAUAAUUGAGAUGUAGUGUUAUGACCACACUGAGGAGAGCCUUGAAUGCUAGGACUUUAGAGUUCAUCUUGUAGGUCAAGGGUUAACAAAUUCUAAACCUGCUGGAGGCCAGCAGGAACCACAGUGGGUGGAGGGCCGGGAAGGGUACAGAGGCGCUGGUGGGGGUGUGGUGAGCAGCAGAGAGUAGACGCCAGGGCCCAGGCAGCUGUUCUCAGCACCAGCUGAUUAUUGCCAGGUGGGAACGUGGGCCCGGAGUUGCCAAGCGUUCUGAGUUUUUAAGAGAAACCAGAAAUCUGAAUGUGUGUGUGUGUGUGUGUGUGUUCACGCAGAUGGAGACACACACAAGAAAUCUCUAUUUAAAAACGUAUCUGAAUCAAGUUUUUGAAAAACACAGUGUGAGCCAAACAAAAGCCAUCUGGGGCUGGAUCCAGCUCAGAGGCUUCUAGUUUUCAGCCUCUGCUAGAGGCCUGAAAGAUGCUUGAGCUGGGAAGGAACAGACUGAAAGAGGCAUUGUGGGGUGAUAACCAAUGGGUAAUACACUACAUUGCGAUAGAGGGAUUGCCUUGAGGCUAGACCAGCUAG
ensembl:lncRNA